UACGUAGGGUGCGAGCGUUAAUCGGAAUUACUGGGCGUAAAGCGUGCGCAGGCGGUUUUGUAAGCCCGAUGUGAAAUCCCCGGGCUUAACCUGGGAAUGGCAUUUGGGACUGCAAGGCUGGAGUGCGGCAGAGGAGACUGGAAUUUACGGUGUAGCGGUGAAAUGCGUAGAUAUCGUAAGGAAGACCAGUGGCGAAGGCGGGUCUCUGGGCCGAUACUGACGCUGAGGAGCGAAAGCGUGGGGAGCGAACAGG
rnacentral:rRNA from 1 species